rnacentral:rRNA from 1 species
UACGGAGGGUGCAAGCGUUAAUCGGAAUUACUGGGCGUAAAGCGUGCGCAGGCGGUUUGUUAAGUCUGCUGUGAAAUCCCCGAGCUCAACUUGGGAAUUGCAGUGGAUACUGGCAGGCUGGAGUAUGGUAGAGGAAGGUGGAAUUCCCGGUGUAGCAGUGAAAUGCGUAGAGAUCGGGAGGAACACCAGUGGCCAAGGCGGCCUUCUGGACCAAAACCGGAGGUCAAGCACCAAAGCGUGGGGAGCAAACAGG